GGGUUGUGAGGUUAAGCGACUAAGCGUACACGGUGGAUGCCCUGGCAGUCAGAGGCGAUGAAGGACGUGCUAAUCUGCGAAAAGCGCCGGCGAGGUGAUAUGAACCCUUGACCCGGCGAUGUCCGAAUGGGGAAACCCAGUGCAAUCCGUUGCACUAUCGUUAACUGAAUACAUAGGUUAACGAGGCGAACCGGGGGAACUGAAACAUCUAAGUACCCCGAGGAAAAGAAAUCAACCGAGAUUCCCCCAGUAGCGGCGAGCGAACGGGGAGCAGCCCGGAGUCUGAAUCAGCUUGUGUGUUAGUGGAACGGUCUGGAAAGUCCGACGGUACAGGGUGAUAGUCCCGUACACGAAAGCACACAUGCUGUGAACUCGAAGAGUAGGGCGGGACACGUGGUAUCCUGUCUGAAUAUGGGGGGACCAUCCUCCAAGGCUAAAUACUCCUGACUGACCGAUAGUGAACCAGUACCGUGAGGGAAAGGCGAAAAGAACCCCGGCGAGGGGAGUGAAAAAGAACCUGAAACCGUGUACGUACAAGCAGUGGGAGCCUCUUUAUGGGGUGACUGCGUACCUUUUGUAUAAUGGGUCAGCGACUUAUAUUCUGUAGCAAGGUUAACCGUAUAGGGGAGCCGAAGGGAAACCGAGUCUUAACUGGGCGUUAAGUUGCAGGGUAUAGACCCGAAACCCGGUGAUCUAGCCAUGGGCAGGUUGAAGGUUGGGUAACACUAACUGGAGGACCGAACCGACUAAUGUUGAAAAAUUAGCGGAUGACCUGUGGCUGGGGGUGAAAGGCCAAUCAAACCGGGAGAUAGCUGGUUCUCCCCGAAAGCUAUUUAGGUAGCGCCUCGUGAAUUCAUCUUCGGGGGUAGAGCACUGUUUCGGCUAGGGGGCCAUCCCGGCUUACCAACCCGAUGCAAACUACGAAUACCGAAGAAUGUUAUCACGGGAGACACACGGCGGGUGCUAACGUCCGUCGUGAAGAGGGAAACAACCCAGACCGCCAGCUAAGGUCCCAAAGUCAUGGUUAAGUGGGAAACGAUGUGGGAAGGCACAGACAGCCAGGAUGUUGGCUUAGAAGCAGCCAUCAUUUAAAGAAAGCGUAAUAGCUCACUGGUCGAGUCGGCCUGCGCGGAAGAUGUAACGGGGCUAAACCAUGCACCGAAGCUGCGGCAGCGACGCUUAUGCGUUGUUGGGUAGGGGAGCGUUCUGUAAGCCGUUGAAGGUGUGCUGUGAGGCAUGCUGGAGGUAUCAGAAGUGCGAAUGCUGACAUAAGUAACGAUAAAGCGGGUGAAAAGCCCGCUCGCCGGAAGACCAAGGGUUCCUGUCCAACGUUAAUCGGGGCAGGGUGAGUCGACCCCUAAGGCGAGGCCGAAAGGCGUAGUCGAUGGGAAACAGGUUAAUAUUCCUGUACUUGGUGUUACUGCGAAGGGGGGACGGAGAAGGCUAUGUCAGCCGGGCGACGGUUGUCCCGGUUUAAGCAUGUAGGCGGAGGUUCCAGGUAAAUCCGGUACCUUGUUAACGCUGAGGUGUGAUGACGAGGCACUACGGUGCUGAAGUGAUAAAUGCCCUGCUUCCAGGAAAAGCCUCUAAGCAUCAGGUAACACGAAAUCGUACCCCAAACCGACACAGGUGGUCAGGUAGAGAAUACCAAGGCGCUUGAGAGAACUCGGGUGAAGGAACUAGGCAAAAUGGUGCCGUAACUUCGGGAGAAGGCACGCUGAUGUGUAGGUGAAGCCCCUGCGGGUGGAGCUGAAAUCAGUCGAAGAUACCAGCUGGCUGCAACUGUUUAUUAAAAACACAGCACUGUGCAAACACGAAAGUGGACGUAUACGGUGUGACGCCUGCCCGGUGCCGGAAGGUUAAUUGAUGGGGUUAGCGGCAACGCGAAGCUCUUGAUCGAAGCCCCGGUAAACGGCGGCCGUAACUAUAACGGUCCUAAGGUAGCGAAAUUCCUUGUCGGGUAAGUUCCGACCUGCACGAAUGGCGUAAUGAUGGCCAGGCUGUCUCCACCCGAGACUCAGUGAAAUUGAACUCGCUGUGAAGAUGCAGUGUACCCGCGGCAAGACGGAAAGACCCCGUGAACCUUUACUAUAGCUUGACACUGAACACUGGUCCUUGAUGUGUAGGAUAGGUGGGAGGCUUUGAAGCGUGGACGCCAGUCUGCGUGGAGCCGCCCUUGAAAUACCACCCUUUAAUGGCUGGUGUUCUAACGUGGACCCGUAAUCCGGGUUGCGGACAGUGUCUGGUGGGUAGUUUGACUGGGGCGGUCUCCUCCCAAAGAGUAACGGAGGAGCACGAAGGUUGGCUAAUCCUGGUCGGACAUCAGGAGGUUAGUGCAAUGGCAUAAGCCAGCUUGACUGCGAGCGUGACGGCGCGAGCAGGUGCGAAAGCAGGUCAUAGUGAUCCGGUGGUUCUGAAUGGAAGGGCCAUCGCUCAACGGAUAAAAGGUACUCCGGGGAUAACAGGCUGAUACCGCCCAAGAGUUCAUAUCGACGGCGGUGUUUGGCACCUCGAUGUCGGCUCAUCACAUCCUGGGGCUGAAGUAGGUCCCAAGGGUAUGGCUGUUCGCCAUUUAAAGUGGUACGCGAGCUGGGUUUAGAACGUCGUGAGACAGUUCGGUCCCUAUCUGCCGUGGGCGCUGGAGAAUUGAGGGGGGCUGCUCCUAGUACGAGAGGACCGGAGUGGACGCAUCACUGGUGUUCGGGUUGUCAUGCCAAUGGCACUGCCCGGUAGCUAAAUGCGGAAGAGAUAAGUGCUGAAAGCAUCUAAGCACGAAACUUGCCCCGAGAUGAGUUCUCCCUGAGACUUUAAGUCUCCUGAAGGAACGUUGAAGACGACGACGUUGAUAGGUCGGGUGUGUAAGCGCAGCGAUGCGUUGAGCUAACCGAUACUAAUGAACCGUGAGGCUUAACCUUACAACGCCGAAGGUGUUU
rnacentral:rRNA from 2 species